AUCAGCAUGCUGCGGUGAAUACGUUCCCGGGCCUUGUACACACCGCCCGUCACACCAUGAGAGUCGAUAACACCCGAAGCCUGUAGUCUAACCAUAAGGAGGACGCAGUCGAAGGUGGGAUUGAUAAUUAGGGUGAAGUCGUAACAAGGUAUC
rnacentral:rRNA from 1 species